AGGCCCCAUCGCGUCACUCUACACAAUGACACGCCCCUGCAGACCACCGUCGACAUCGGGGACUGCCACGGGCACUGUGCGCACGAACUGGGAUGUAAACCUAUUAAGACGAGGACUGUGACUGUCGAGGGUCCAAAUGGGUCAGAGUGCCUGACGGUGGUGGAGCAGUGCGGGUGCGAGGCGGCCUGCGCUACCGCGCGCUGCACUUUUCCCGCAAGUCUACAACUACACGGAUGCAGAUGAACCUACUGUGGAGGUG